rnacentral:lncRNA from 1 species
AGGGGACGGCCAAAUGGGUCGGUGAGAAAGCGGGGAUCACUCCCGCGGCUUCCCGCGGACGUCUCCAUAUCGGUCGGGCUGCAGCGCGAAGAGAAGCCGAUGCCCAGGGCCUCAGAAAGAAGCAAUGUUUCAGAGAUGUUACCAUGGAAACAAUGGAGUGAGGAAGCAGCUAAACAUAAAAGUAAGUCAUCUAUCAGUAAAACCAGAGACAUGCUUUAGGGUAACUUGAAAUUAUAAAAUAGAUAAUUAAUUGAGCUGUUGCUGAGCAUCUGUUUGUCCAUAUUGCUUUCUUCUAAGUCACAACAGGCCACCUUUUUGCAUAUGACAAGAAAAUAAAACUUCCCUGUACAAAGUUUUCAGUAGCUGAAGUCCUUUCUGACACAAGAGAUAGUACCACCCUUUGGAGAUGAGCACUGGAGUUACUUAUCAGCGAGGUCAGGCAAUUGAAAUGGUAUUGUUAAGGGUCAGCAACACCAGCUUCCUCAAACAAAUCAAAACUCUCUUCUGAUAGCAUUGUGAGCAUUGGAGAGUUGUGAUACAAGAUACUUGCAAAGUUUAAUCAGACUAUGGGAAAAAGAAGAUUAGCUUUACUGGAAGUGAAAAUGCAGCUUGAUAUGUCAAGCUCCUUCCAAUUAUGCAAAUGAAUACACAGAGCCAUUCUGCUCAGAAGUGGGUAUUAAAUUAUACUUGUGGAUAAAUAUGAAAGCAUACCUUUGUCCAUCUGUCACUAUAUAUCCUGAAACACCAUAAUUACCUCUCUCA